UUUUAAUUAACAUCGGAACGGUUCGAUGAUCUGUUUAUUCCCGCAGGCGUUUCCCGAAGCAUGUCAUCACAGUAGACAGUAGUUAUUGUUUCACGUACAUUUUAAAGCCAAGUAUAUUUUUGCCCUUUAUAUGAUACUGUAGAAGCUCUAUCUGUACACACUCGAACGUUUUCCUGAACUGCAGAAGAUUGUCAGAGUACGAGCAGGAUCAUGUAGUUGUCAACACAGCGGAGGAAGCUGAAACACGUGUGACCAAAUUUGAAAUAGAAACAAUCACGAAAUUUACAAUAUGUAGACGAAAUAAAGGAUUUACCCAUGAACUAGAUGCUAUAGACCUGCAAAGUCAUCGGAUACAUUUGGAAGAUAAUGUACGUGAAGAGGGUGUUAAGAUACCCUGUAAUGGCACAUCAUUUCUCAUUCUCGGCUAUGAUGUGAGAGAGUGUCAAUUUGGGCCGGACCGGAACAGGCCUAUGAUGAAGAACUACCAGAUGGAGAAGACUCUAGUAGCAGAUCAAGACCACGCUUAUACCCAGAAGG